rnacentral:rRNA from 1 species
AACGAACGCUGGCGGCAGGCUUAACACAUGCAAGUCGAGCGCCCCGCAAGGGGAGCGGCAGACGGGUGAGUAACGCGUGGGAACGUACCUUUUGGUUCGGAACAACUCCGGGAAACUGGAGCUAAUACCGGAUAAGCCCUAACGGGGAAAGAUUUAUCGCCGAAAGAUCGGCCCGCGUCUGAUUAGCUAGUUGGUGAGGUAACGGCUCACCAAGGCGACGAUCAGUAGCUGGUCUGAGAGGAUGAUCAGCCACACUGGGACUGAGACACGGCCCAGACUCCUACGGGAGGCAGCAGUGGGGAAUAUUGGACAAUGGGCGCAAGCCUGAUCCAGCCAUGCCGCGUGAGUGAUGAAGGCCUUAGGGUUGUAAAGCGCUUUUGUCCGGGAAGAUAAUGACUGUACCGGAAGAAUAAGCCCCGGCUAACUUCGUG